GACAGAGGGGGCAAGCGUUGCUCGGAAUCACUGGGCGUAAAGGGCGCGUAGGCGGGAGCUCAAGUCGGUCGUGAAAUCUCCGGGCUCAACCCGGAGGAGUCGGCCGAAACUGGGUUUCUUGAGGGAGGCAGAGGAGUCUGGAAUUCCCGGUGUAGCGGUGAAAUGUGUAGAGGAUCGGGAAGGAACGACCGGUGGCGCAAGGUCGG
rnacentral:rRNA from 1 species